rnacentral:rRNA from 1 species
AACGAACGCUGGCGGUAUGCCUAACACAUGCAAGUCGAACGAGACCUUCGUGACUGCUUGCUCACGGGUGCGUAACGCGGGGGAAGCUUCCCGUAUGUUCCGGAUAAUUCCUCUACGUGGGGGCUAAUGUCGGGAAACGUACGCUGAUCAAAGAUAUGUCGCCCUUGGGUGAGCCGGCGUUGUUUUAGCUAGUUGCGAGUGUAAAAGCCUACCAAGGAUUCGAUCGAUAGCUGGUCUGAGAGAAUGAUCAGCCACACUGGGACUGAGACACGGCCCAGAGUACUACGCGAGGCAGGAGAGGGGAAUAUUGGCAAAUGGGCGGAAGCCUGAACCAGCACUGCCGGGUGAGUGCUGAAGGUCUUAGGGUUGUAAAGCUGUUUUACCCGCCACGAUAAUGACAGUACCGGGAGAAUAAGCUCCGGCUAACUCCGUG